ensembl:lncRNA
CUGAGCACAAUUUCUGUUCUCCUCCUGAAGCCAAGUUCUGAACCUGAAGCACUAUUUCUGGGUUCGCCGAGUCUGCAACCUGAGGCGCCUGUAACCCGAGGGGCCACUUUACCAAGGAGGGUCCUCCCUUCCCUCUGGCUGGGAGAUGGGAAUAAGAUCUGAAUGGCGGCGCCCCUCUUUUAUUGGGGGUCCAAGGGCGCCUCCUGAGGCGGCCAGUUCCCCAGGCCGGCGCCAGGAACCCCGCCUCCUCCUCUCCGGCCCGAGGCUUCCCCGGAGGCCGCGGCCAGGGCGCUUCCCGUCCGGCUGGCGGCCAUGGCGGGUCCGCGGGGCGGGAGGGCGCUGGCCUUGCUGCUGCUGCUGCUGCUUCGGGCCAGAGGCCCCCUCGGCUGCUCCGCCGCCGCCCCGCCGUCGGGAGAGCUACGCUCACCUCUUUUAAUCUGCCGUGUUGACAAUAACAGCAUCCAGGUGUUCUGCAUGCCAGGCUUCCAGCAUCCACCUGUGACCUACCACUGGGAAUUAAAAAAUACAUUUAUUUCUGACCAGCCUGUGGUCAGCAUUAAGGGAAGCCUAAACCUUUCUGAGCAAAUCACAUGUACCAUAACCACCGCCACUUCAAAUGCCAGCACAUCCAUCAGUGUGCAAAAGUGUUACCUGUCAGGAAUUUCUGCUAAUGGAAGAAAUAGACGCAUCACCCGAGUGCUGUUCAUAAUAUGUGUCAUCGUGAUGGUAGUAGUAAGCUGGUUCCUCCUGUAUAGAAAAUCUCUGGCAGCGGAAAGAUGAAAACAGCCCUCAUUGGAGCAAAGGGGGAGAACCGGCAUGUAGAAGAAGGAAUUUGACAGCACAGCUGAUUUCUUUGGCUCCUGUUCUCUGCUUUUGACUCACAUCUGGAACAAUUAUUUCAUGAAUCCAUUGUAUGGAUUUUGUUUAUUAUAUAUUAUUGAUCCAGCGGGAUCCACUUUCUUUCUUUUCUUUUUUUAAAAAUAUAUUUAUUGAAAUUUUAAAUAGUAAAACAAACUUCCCAAUCAGCCAAAAAAGAAACACAUCAUCACCCAGCGGGAUCCACUUUCACCUCUUCCACAUUUUUGCACUGAAAUUUCAAAGAUGAGAAGACAUUUUGUCAAGUGGCUGUUCAUAUUUGAUGCCGUGAGCUGGGUUUUUAUUUUAUUUUAUUGCCAAUAUUUACUUUUAACGAAGUUGCAAGAAAUUGGUAAGCAGGAAUAGAGCAAGUUAGAGCUAUUGAGAUUCUUACAGUUACAAUUGGCUGUUGUUUAAGGAGAAUUAGACGUGUGCCGGUGCCUGCUCCCGAUUUUCCUUAAUUUCCAUAAAUAUGUACAAAAUAUGCACAAUUGCCUUCUUAAUGGCGUAUAUUUUAUCCUCUCCUGCAUGACUUGGUUGCAUCCCUCUCCAGUGUCUUAGGUGAUAAGGUUUCUUCAAGAUUUGUCAAAGCACAUUGGAAUAGAACUGUUUGCACCCCAAAGCACUGAGAGAGUCUGGCAGCACCUUAAAGGGCAUUUAUUGUGGCAUAGCCUUUGGUGGACUGUAGACCACUUCGUCAGGUGUGCAGAAUGUUAUUUAGAGAUAGAGAUAUAUAUGUUAGGGGUAAUGUGCACAUUUCCCAGCCGAUACCCAUAAUAUCCAGCAGGUCUUGGGGAAUAGCUCAGGUGACCUUCAUUCAUUCUGCUUGCUUGGUUUUUUUUUUUUAAUCUCUAAUUCAGAAGUGCAGGCUGCUGUUCCUCAGGCUGCUUUUGACUGCCUAAUUCUGCAUCGAUCACAGCCACUGAGCACUGGAAGAAAGGUUGGAGCUCCAGAUAAAGAUUUGUUUUCUUGGUGCAGGUGCAAAUAUUUUUAUUUAUUUACAUUUUUAAAUGUAUAUGCUUUAUUUAAUGACUACAGGCAUUACUGUGUGCAUGCAAACUCUAAAAUAUAAUACAAGUAUUAGUAAAAAUAUCAUUGUAUUUAUUAGAUAUUCCUACAAUAUCUUUAACACCAGACCUUUAGCAUCACAGUUGCAUUUCAUCGGUUGUAUGCCAUCAUCUUUUGAAAAACGUAUGUUAAAUAUCAGUCUGUUUUUCUUAAAUAUCGGAAUUUUCUCUGAGAUCUCAAUUCCAAAUAAGACCUUUUACUUAUGAAAAUGUAUAAAUUUGUUUCCUUUAUAGCAGCAAGCAGUCUUCUGGCAUUUACACUGUUAUACCUAAGUUUUUAAAAAUUAUUAUUAAAAAAAUGUAUAUAAGAUUGUUGGAUUCUAUUGAUUCAUUUCCU